UCCUGAGCUUUGUGGCUGGUUGACUGUGU
rnacentral:piRNA from 1 species